rnacentral:rRNA from 1 species
ACGCUCGACACCUACGGGAGGCAGCAGUGGGGAAUAUUGCACAAGUGGGGGAAACCCUGAUGCAGCGACGCCGCGUGGAGGAAGAAGGUCUUCGGAUUGUAAACUCCUGUUGUUGGGGAAAAAGAGGAUGGUACCCAACAAGGAAGUGACGGCUAACUACGUGCCAGUAGCCGCGGUAAUCUGAGCGGGCUGGCAAGGC